rnacentral:rRNA from 1 species
GAUGAACGCUGGCGGCGUGCUUAACACAUGCAAGUCGAACGAAGCAUUUAAGACGGAUUACUUCGGUUUGAAGUCUUUUAUGACUGAGUGGCGGACGGGUGAGUAACGCGUGGGUAACCUGCCUCAUACAGGGGGAUAGCAGCUGGAAACGGCUGGUAAUACCGCAUAAGCGCACAGUACCACGUGGUACAGUGUGAAAAACUCCGGUGGUAUGAGAUGGACCCGCGUCUGAUUAGCUGGUUGGUGAGGUAACGGCCCACCAAGGCGACGAUCAGUAGCCGACCUGAGAGGGUGACCGGCCACAUUGGGACUGAGACACGGCCCAGGACUCCUACGGGAGCAGCAGUGGGGAAUAUUGCACAAUGGGGGGAAACCCUGAAUGCAGCGACGCCGCGUGGAGGAAGAAGGUCUUC